UGCCCUCACGUGCCACCUGUGCUUUGUGGGGUUGAUACUGAGCACCUGUGGGGCUUCUCUGCUUUUUGAGGCACAGCUGUGGCCCUUUCAGUCACCGAAAUCAGCACCUGGAGUGCAGGAGGUGCAAUCAGUGCUGCAGUAGAAGGCUCUGAGCUUUGGGUUUUGCUGGCCUUCUGGUUGCUCCUGAGACAGCAAGAAGCUCACAACUGCUGAGCAGGAGACGUGCACUGCUUCCUGCAGGGUACACCUGUGAACAUGGGAGUGCAACUCAGUAAGGAGCCCUUCAUUGUGGUUUACAAAAAAACAUCCAAGAGGGUGCAAAAAGAAGUUCCAGAAACUGCUGCAACACAUCCUUCAAAGUCUGAGGACUUCCAGGAUACUGCCAAAGAGAUGGCUAAGGAAACCUGCCAGGCUGCUCCAGAUGCAAGCAAAAGACUGUAAAAGUGAUCCAAGAGCAAGUCCUCUGUGUUGGAGGUGUGGGAGGAAACUGCUUAUAAAAAUUGUCCUUCUGUACAUUGCAUCAUGGACUAGUUAAUAGACAACAGCAGAUAUUCAUGUAUUUAACUGGAAAUGGCCAUACUUGGAAAUGGACAUCUUUUCCCUGUGCUGGAUGAUCUCCUGUGGCUUGACAUAUCUACUCCUAGCAGAUGUGUAUCUUAACCAGACUGAUUCUGGUCCUUGUAUACGUGAAAUAUAACACCCUUUUAGGAAACUGUUACCCUGCUAGAAGCUGUCUGUUAUGAUCUAGUGACAUACUGAGUUUAAAAUGAGUACUUCAUGUGCACUAUUACAUAGCAUCAGUGAGGUUCUUGAAUGCAUUGAGCCCUCUACUACCAACACUUGCUUGAUGCAGAUAAUUCUACAGGUCUUGCAACUUGAACACAAAUGAAGUUAUUUGAAAGAUGCAGGUAGUCUCAGUAAAAUGAAGACAACUGCAGGAACUGAAGAAACCUGAGCUCUGUAAUGGAUGUUCUGUAACCUGAGUGUUUAUAACCUGGAUGUCAUCCACUUACCACUGAAGUAAUUUUUUGGUAAUGCUCUAACUAGACUUGAGGGAUCUCUUUGGAUUAAGAGUUGUGCUGGGCAAAAAGACCUCAUCCUAAAAGCAGAGGUAGUGUAGCUCUCCUGCAGUGACUGUACUCUGAGGCUGUAAUGACAGAACAAAGUCCUUGGCCGUAACUGUAAUAAGGUGGAAAUGCCUUGCUCUCUAAUUGAGGUUCAGACUGUUUUGAAAUUCGCACUUGAAAAGAAAACUGAGAUGUUUGCAACAUGAUUCUUCAAAGUGUUUCUAAACCUGUGCUCUCUCCCCUCUGAAGUUUCACUUGGGUUGAAAGCAGCUUCAUUAUUUUUUUAUCUGCUUUCACUUAUGAUGCUGUUGUCUCAAGCUGUUUGAUCUAUCUUUUUGCUAACCCCAUUUCUACUCAGUCCAGUACAGAUUAAGGUGGGGAUGUGAUUUAAGGUCUCUGAAUCAUGUCUGUGGUCUAAAGACACGGUCACCUUUCAUUACUGCCUUUUUCCUUCAGUCACUGUAGGCUUCCAAGCAUCCGGUGCUCAAUGUGAGUUAUAGCCACACUCAGCUGUCCUGUAUAAAAUGCUUCUCUUCUAGAGUGUAUUGCUAUAAUGAGGAAUAGGGAAAGCAUAACAAAAACAGGGCAGUUCUCUAGAUGAUAGGAUAUAUUACCUGCUAGCUCAGUCUUAAGUGAGCUAGUUUUGCUUACCUGUGUUGGUACAAACUACAUUGGAUAUAAAAUCCAGAAUCCUGUUCCCUAUUAGCAUGAAUAGAUAGCUCAAGUGCUAAGCUCAUGAUGGGCAGACAGGUCAAGUCAAGGUUAGCAGUGGGAUGUGAUGAGCAGCUACAAAGAAAGAAAGAGCUCCAUUUUUUUUUUGGCAGGCUCUGAGAUGUUACAGUAUUAAAUUCAGUACACAUGGACACACUGAAUGAAGAGGCUGGGAAAUGGUUUGGGCGCUGGGAGCUGAUAAAUACACUGCAUCCUCCUCUCAAGGCCCACAGGCAACCUGGUGGAUUGCCGUGCUGGGGGAUUCAGCUGCAGUUCACUGGUAGGUGACUGGGACCUGCUUGGGGAUAUCAAAUCCAUCUGUAGCUGUAAGAUGCUAAUGUAACAGAUUUGCUUCCAGGUGGCAGCGAGCUUGUAUUUUACCAGGUCUUGACAGUGGGCAAAGCAGAGGACGAGUACUUCUCAGCCAGUAACCUGGGCUGUGCACCUCUUGUUCCCUAUGGCCAGCUGCAGAACAACUUGGUUUUUGUAGCUGUAUGAACAGAGUGGGCCUAUGAGUGCUCUGACAUGUGCAUGCACGCCUUUAAAGUUGGUCUGUCAAGUCAAAUAAGCAAGCUUUUGCAAGAGAAGUGUAACAGCCUUUCAGAUAGUAUGUCUGCAUGCUUUUUUCUAAUGCUGUAGAUGCAAAAGUAUCCACAGAGGCUAACACGAAAUAAGGCUUCUCAUCUGUUUCUUUUCCUUUUCCUGUUCUAAUGUGCUUUGUCAAGAGUCAUAAACCAACGUUGUUCAAAUAAAAUGUUACAAGCACUGAUCUAAGAAUAUUUUUAAGUGGUAUUAAAUAACAUUUUGGUGUGAUACAAAAGGGAAUGGUGUGAGGAGGAACUGAGUAAUGGAACUAAUAUUCAUGGACAUGUGAAGAAGUACUGUGUGAAGCUUUGGGGAUGGGGCUGGUAGCUUGUCUUGAUGUAUGCUGAAGUACUGGAACAGUAAUACUUAACUGCUUUGCCUUGAGCUUAUCUUCUACUGGAGGAUGUGGUGGAGUUGUUCUCUUUGAUAUGAAUGGUUUAUGUUCCUGUGCCACCUGCUAAUAAAAAAAUGAAAUGUAAACA